CAAAUUGUCCCUGUAACCAGAGCAGAUGUGCUCCUGACCAGCUAAGCAGAAAACCACCCAAUCCCUGUGCAGGGAAACAAACCAAUCCCUGAUGAGAAAUCUAGCCAAUCCAAGCUGAAGGGAUUGAAAUCUGACCAAUUCCCACCCUGAAAACCUUCUCUCUGGAAAAACUCCACCCCAGGGAAACCCUAUAUAAGCCCUGUGCCUGUUGAGUUUUUCAGCUGCUCUUCUUUCACCCUGGCAGGGGCAGCAGCUCUCCUGGAUUCUUCCCUCCCAGUAAAUCUCUUGAAGGAGGUUUGGGUGAAGACCUUCUUUCUCCAGAGGACAGGAGCCAGAGACAGAGGACUGGAGCAGGACUGUAACACUUUGGCUGGGAAACCUUCCCCUAGCAGAGCAGAGCUGUUAAACUCAGGAGCACUGGACCCAAAGUUACUUUAGAGUGAUAUCAUCCUUGUUUUGUGGCAGCUGAGACAGUGGAGGUGACUCACUGUGGUUGUGCAGCUAAGAACACGAGAGGUGGUAGAAGAAAAUAUGUCUAUUGAAUAUACUUGUACCGGACAAUAACAAGAGUACCACAGCUGACAGCGUGAAGUUUGUCUUUGAUCCAGGUGGUGGUGGUUCUCACCUUUAAUCCCAGCACUCAGGAGGCAGACAGGUGGAUCUCUAAUGUGCUCCAGGCCAGAGAUUUUGACCUGUGAAUCACCUGUUAUAACACUAAAAACCACAACCACAGAAUGGAGAAACUAGGCCUUGGCUUGGAUGAUGAGGGCAACAACCAGCACGCAACAGCCCCACAGAGCCCAGUAGACUCACUCCUGAGCAUCCACGCUGCAAACAGGUUCUGGUAAAGGCCUGCCUGUGCCUCAACACCAAGUGUUCCUGCCCGAAGAUGAAGACGAUGCAGGACACCAAAGGCUGCAAACAGGAACCCAAUGGUGGACACCUCAUCUGCAGGCAGCUUUUUGCCCUCUGCUGGUACCAUGCCAAGCACUGCCAGGGGAAGGAUUGCCUGGUGCUAUCAUCUUCAAUCAAAAACUUCAACAGCCACAGGUGCAGCAGCGGCUCCUAGCAGUUCAUUGCGGUGCAGGAGGAUGGCCAGCAUGGAAGGGAUUGAUGUGGCAAACAGCAGCAGGACCUGCCGCCCCCAACUCCUGCUAUGCCAACCACCCCCACUGAUCAACAGCCAGCCACCUCACAGACACCUCAGGACUCACACUACUGGCCUUGUGUCCUAGGGUAAUGUAGCAGGCCAUGUGAUCCAUCAACCCUACCUCAGAGUGCUCAGCCCUCACUGGCAGGGCCUCCCCAUGGAGCAUCAAAAAUGUAAAAAAAAAGAAAAAGAAGAAAAUAGAGGAGCAUCUUUUUUUCUUCUUAUUUUCUUUUUUAGGGCUUAUCAUGUUUAAUUUGCUCAGGUUGGGAGCCAGAGGAAUUGUGUCAGAGAUGGUUCCUCUCCAUGGCCACCAUGCACACAAGCUGGGGAUCACUUUGGCCUCCGUUGGUGUUUUCUGUAAGGUUCUUCUGGGCAAGAGCAGUAGGCUUGAUGAGAUACCGAGGACCUGCCGUGUUUCAGAGCAGAUCCAGCAGAGACUGAUACAUUAAAGCAUCCAGAGGAGGUCUCAACUGUGGUUGCUUUGCUCCCCUGGGUCUUCUGGAUCCAGAGUGGCUUGUGCCUCUUUGUCAGCCUUGAGUUCUACCUGAGUUUGAACAACUAAUUGUUCCACGCGGCAGGUGUUCCUCGCCACUGUGUCUUCUUGUCCUGAGAGCUUUGCUGCUGCAGGCAAGGACAGGAGGACUCUCCCUGGCAGUGAAGCCUUUUCCUAGAGCAGGGCUGUGAGCUGCUACGUUUCCUGUGACCUGUGCUAUUCCGUGGCUCCCAACUGUUGGAAUACUCUUCUCCCAAGCUGUGAUGCUGGGUAUAUCCUGGCCCCCCGACUGCCAGGAUACUUUACCAUCCAUUCCUUGGCUUGCAACUGCCAGGAUCCCUUUCCGUCUGAGCUGUGAUACUUUCUUACACCUGGUUGUGGUCGAGGGAGUUGAAUUUGGCAUCAUGGAGAUAUAGCAGGAAACAGGCCUUUCAGUGUCAAGAGAAGACUUGUUCAACUCUCCUGACCAAAGCAAAAAGCCCUGGAAAAAGGUGAACAUGGGAGAGGCAGAAGACUGUGAACAAGGUUUGGGCAUCCGUCCUUUGACCUUGAACUCCCCACCAACCACCUCUGGAGUCUCCUUGCCUCAGCAGCACUGCC